GCGAGAGCCCCCCCUCACAAGAUGGCCGCCAGGCUGCCACCCGGCCAGGGAGAGGGCGCUCCAGGCUGCCAGCCCCUCCUGCAGGCAGUCCAGAGAAGGAUGUCGCCUUCUCCGUCAGCAUGAGACACGCCUUCGUACCCUUCUCAGGUGCUGAACGGAGGGGUGGAUGUUUUCCGCUGCAUCGCGGCAGAGUGGAAGAACAUAACCCCAGAUGCUGUGAAGGACG